CUACGGGCGGCUGCAGUAGGGAAUAUUGGGCAAUGGACGCAAGUCUGACCCAGCCAUGCCGCGUGCAGGAUGAAGGCGUUAUGCGUUGUAAACUGCUUUUAUACAGGAAGAAACGACUCUUGCGAGAGGCAUUGACGGUACUGUAUGAAUAAGCACCGGCUAACUCCGUGCCAGCAGCCGCGGUAAUACGGAGGGUGCAAGCGUUGUCCGGAUUUAUUGGGUUUAAAGGGUGCGCAGGUGGUUUAUUAAGUCAGUGGUGAAAGACGGUCGCUCAACGAUUGCAGUGCCAUUGAAACUGGUAGACUAGAGUAAAGUAGAGGUGGGCGGAAUUGAUAGUGUAGCGGUGAAAUGCAUAGAUAUUAUCAAGAACUCCAAUUGCGUAGGCAGCUCACUUGGCUUUUACUGACACUCAUGCACGAAAGUGUGGGUAUCAAACAGGAUUAGAUACCCCGGUAGUC
rnacentral:rRNA from 1 species